rnacentral:rRNA from 1 species
UGGGGAAUUUUCCGCAAUGGGCGAAAGCCUGACGGAGCAAGACCGCGUGGGGGAGGAAGGUCUGUGGAUUGUAAACCCCUUUUGACUGGGAAGAACACCAUGACGGUACCAGUCGAAUCAGCCUCGGCUAACUCCGUGCCAGCAGCCGCGGUAAUACGGAGGAGGCAAGCGUUAUCCGGAUUGAUUGGGCGUAAAGCGUCCGCAGGUGGUUUAUCAAGUCUGCUGUCAAAGCGCGAAGCUUAACUUCGUAAAGGCAGUGGAAACUGAUGGACUUGAGUGUGAUAGGGGCAGAGGGAAUUCCCAGUGUAGCGGUGAAAUGCGUAGAGAUUGGGAAGAACACCGGUGGCGAAAGCGCUCUGCUGGGUCACUAACUGACACUGAGGGACGAAAGCUAGGGGAG